AUUGUGUGUAAUUAGAAUGCUUACAUAAUUUCUUCUCUGAACUGUGAUAUUUUUGAGAGUAGAUGGAAAUGUAUUAAUCAUUCCGUGGUAGCCGUGCUGAAAUAGUGCUACUUGUUUAUAAGAAGCUGAGCAUGCCAAGGUGAAAGUGCGCUAACUCCAUUGUUUGUUUUUACUGUGUGAGUGUUGAUUGGGUAGAAACCUGGUAACUGGACUACGUAAUUAAGACAGAGUAAGGUAUUUGUCUGUGCUCGAUUAUGUCAUGUUAUUUGUUUACAUGACUUCAAAUAAGUUUUAUAGAUAUUUUGCAUUCUGUAUUCUUAAAAAGUAUAUUGACUAGGACUUUUGAGAGUAGGUAUUUUAACUCAAUUAGGUUUUAGUUUUUAAUAUUCUAGCACUUUCCAGCACACAGUUCUGUGAAUUCCUCUUCUUCUAAUUAUUAUUAUUAUUAUUAGAGAUUUAUUUAUUUUAUGUAUAUGAAUGCACUGUAGCUGUACAGAUGGUUGUGAGCCUUCAUAUGGUUGUUGGAAAUUGAAUUUUAAGAACUCUGCUCAAUCCGACCCAAAGAUUUAUUUACUGUCAUAAAUAAGUACACCGUUGCUGACUUCAGACAUACCAGAAGAGGGCAUCAUAUCUCACUAUGGGUGGUUGUGAGCUACCAUGUGGUUGCUAGGAUUUGAACUCAGGACCUUGAGAAGAGUAGUACUCUUACUCGCUGAGCCGUCUCCCAGCCCGAAUUCCUGUUCUUGGUUGUUAUGUCUACCGAUCAAUCAGUUGGCAUACAUAGAGACAGACACACACAGACAGCAGCAUCGUGCAGGAUAACUAUUUGGAGACUCAUUUUCUUCAUUUGUGCUUUUUUGUAAUUAUGUUGAAGAUCUUAAUCCUGUGAGCAAAAAAAGACUAACUGAACAAUUCCCUGUCAUAUAGAUCUUGAAAGAUACUGUUUUAGGUAAUUUAAUUAAUCAUUGAAUUAGUAUUUUUAAUUAUAUGAUAGUUAUAAAAAUCAUUUUUCCCUGUAAAACAUUUAACUACAAUUUUUUUCUGAAAGUAUGGUCCUUGAUAUAUUUUUUAGUAUAAUCAUGAAUUAAGAGACCUUAAAGCAAAAGGUUCAGAAUAGAAGCUCAGGAGAUAGAUGGGUAAGAGUGCUUAAUGACCUGGGUUCAAAUCCCACUACCUAUCUUAAAAGCCAAUCAUGACUGUUGCAUGUUGGGAAGCAGUUGCAGGAGCUUGCUAGCCAACUGUGGAUUCAGUAAAAGGAGCAGGGGAAUAAGGUACAGAGGGAUAGAAGAAGGCAAAGGCAGGCAGAUUUCUGAGUUCGAGGCCAGCCUGGUCUGCAAAGUGAGUUCCAGGACAGCCAGGGCUAUACAGAGAAACCCUGUCUCGAAAAAAAAGAAAAAGAAACUCAUUUGCAGUUAACUUGCUUGUUUACAAAAUUCAUUAAGUAUUUCUAGAAUUCGAUUUUUAUCAUUUGAUAACUCAGAAUGGUCACUUAAAACAAAAUUACUAAUAAACGCUGAGUUUUGGGCUGGUGAGAUCGCUCAGUGGGUAAGAGCACCCUACUGCUCGUCCGAAGGUCCGGAGUUCAAAUCCCAGCAACCACAUGGUGGCUCACAACAACCAUCUGUAACAAGAUCUGACACCCUCUUCUGGAGUGUCUGAAGACAGCUACAGUGUACUUACAUAUAAUAAAUAAAUAAAUCUUUAAAAAAAAAAAGCUGAGUUUUACAUCUUUCAUUGAACUUUAUUUCAGCUGCCAGGUUAUUUUUAGUAAAGCUGUGAUAUAAACUCAGUAUGUCUUUUGCUUCAUUGUGUGUGUCAUAAAUAUCUUUCAGUACUUCUCUGUAGUUUAAGACUAGUAAUAUAGUGACCCAAAUGGAUAGAAGAGUGGUGAGCUAGGUAUGGUGGCACAUAUACGCAUUUAGUCCUAGUGCUCAGGAGGCAGAAGCAGGUAGAUCUCCAAGGAUGAGGUCAGCCCUGGAUAGUGAGACCCUUUCUCAGUU
rnacentral:lncRNA from 1 species